UACGGAGGGUGCAAGCGUUAAUCGGAAUUACUGGGCGUAAAGCGCGCGUAGGCGGUCUAUUAAGUCAGAUGUGAAAGCCCUGGGCUUAACCUGGGAACUGCAUUUGAUACUGGUAGGCUAGAGUAUGGUAGAGGGAAGUGGAAUUCCGGGUGUAGCGGUGAAAUGCGUAGAUAUCCGGAGGAACAUCAGUGGCGAAGGCGACUUCCUGGACCAAUACUGACGCUGAGGUGCGAAAGCGUGGGUAGCAAACAGGAUUAGAUACCCUGGUAGUCCACGCCGUAAACGAUGUCAACUAGCCGUUGGGUCCAUUUAAGGGCUUAGUGGCGCAGCUAACGCGAUAAGUUGACCGCCUGGGGAGUACGGCCGCAAGGCUAAA
rnacentral:rRNA from 1 species